GACGAACGCUGGCGGCGUGCUUAACACAUGCAAGUCGAACGGAAAGGCCCAGCUUGCUGGGUACUCGAGUGGCGAACGGGUGAGUAACACGUGGGUGAUCUGCCCUGCACUCUGGGAUAAGCCUGGGAAACUGGGUCUAAUACCGGAUAUGACCAACUGUCGCAUGGUGGUUGGUGGAAAGCUUUUGCGGUGUGGGAUGGGCCCGCGGCCUAUCAGCUUGUUGGUGGGGUAAUGACCUACCAAGGCGACGACGGGUAGCCGACCUGAGAGGGUGAUCGGCCACACUGGGACUGAGACACGGCCCAGACUCCUACGGGAGGCAGCAGUGGGGAAUAUUGCACAAUGGGCGCAAGCCUGAUGCAGCGACGCCGCGUGAGGGAUGACGGCCUUCGGGUUGUAAACCUCUUUCACCAGGGACGAAGCGUGAGUGACGGUACCUGGAGAAGAGGCACCGGCCAACUACGUGCCAGCAGCCGCCGUAACAC
rnacentral:rRNA from 1 species